rnacentral:rRNA from 1 species
GAACGUACCUUUUGGUUCGGAACAACACAGGGAAACUUGUGCUAAUACCGAAUGUGCUCUUCGGAGGAAAGAUUUAUCGCCAUUAGAGCGGCCCGCGUUGGAUUAGGUAGUUGGUGUGGUAAAGGCGCACCAAGCCUACGAUCCAUAGCUGGUCUGAGAGGAUGAUCAGCCACACUGGGACUGAGACACGGCCCAGACUCCUACGGGAGGCAGCAGUGGGGAAUCUUGCGCAAUGGGCGAAAGCCUGACGCAGCCAUGCCGCGUGAAUGAUGAAGGUCUUAGGAUUGUAAAAUUCUUUUAGCAGGGACGAUAAUGACGGUACCUGCAGAAAAAGCCCCGGCUAACUUCGUGCCAGCAGCCGCGGUAAUACGAAGGGGGCUAGCGUUGCUCGGAAUUACUGGGCGUAGAGGGAGCGUAGGCGGGUUACCAAGUUGGGGGUGAAAGCCCAGGGCUCAACCCUGGAAUUGCCUUCAAAACUGGUAACCUUGAGGAUGGAAGAGGUAAGUGGAACUCCGAGU